rnacentral:rRNA from 1 species
UACAGAGGGGGCAAGCGUUGUUCGGAAUUACUGGGCGUAAAGGGCGCGUAGGCGGCCUGCUAAGUCGAACGUGAAAUCCCUGGGCUCAACCCAGGAACUGCGUCCGAUACUGGUUGGCUUGAAUCCGGGAGAGGGAUGUGGAAUUCCAGGUGUAGCGGUGAAAUGCGUAGAUAUCUGGAGGAACACCGGUGGCGAAGGCGACGAUCUGGACGAUGACUGACGCUGAGACGCGAAAGCGUGGGGAGCAAACAGG